rnacentral:lncRNA from 1 species
AUGAUGAUCGUGAUAUUAACAUUUUGGAUGAAGAUGAUGUCUAAGCUUAGCCUCUGAAUAUUUGGAAAUUGCCUGUCCUGGGGUGGAUGUGACUUGAGCUGAGAAGUGGAUGCAGCUCAGAUGGUUCAGGUCAAGAAAGGCCGCAGCAGUUCAGCUCUGAGCAGGAAGUGACUCCUUCUGCCAAAAGAGUUUAAAAACCCAUCCUAUCACCACAGCCUGCGGAAGACUGAUGAUCCUAUAGAGAGAACACAGCUGCCAGAGAGAGAGAGAGAGAACUGGUUUCCACAAAGAGGCUGAAUGAAGCUGCUGGCAGACACAGAACCUUGAGAUCAGAGAGAAAUGCAAUGAGGAAACACAGCCAGACUAGGAUUUUGCAUAGAAUUUUGGAUGAAAGCAAAGCCUUCCACUGAAUCAGCUGGCAAAGAUUCAGUCUUUAAGUGGUGUACUUUGAAUCUCCCCUUCUGGAACACAACGGUGCUGAGUACCUACUCAUCUGAAUACAGGAAGGGCUGAGAAGGAGAGGAAAUAUCAGCAAUCAGCAAUAAUUUAGUUAAUGUUUCAAAAUGUCAACAUCCCUUGGAACUACAUUUAUUUUUUCUUCUUUUUUAA